GCGGGUGUUUGGAAUGAGGUUUGAUCCAAGAUCCUUCCUUUUUCUCCAUUAAUUCCUUCAGUACUGGUCAUGAUUUAGUUACUUCAUAAUCGGUUGAUCUCGGACCAGGCUUCAUUCCUGACACCAAGCU
rnacentral:pre_miRNA from 1 species